rnacentral:tRNA from 1 species
GACCUUAUCGUCUAGUGGUUAGGACAUCAGAUUUUCAUUCUGGGAACCAGAGUUCAAUUCUCUGUAAGGUCG